rnacentral:rRNA from 1 species
GACAGAGGUCCCGAGCGUUAGGCGGAAUCACUGGGCUUAAAGCGUGUGUAGGCGGAGUUCUAAGUACCUUGUGAAAUCCCACGGCUCAACCGUGGAACUGCUUGGUAUACUGGUUCUCUUGAGCCACCUAGGGGCAACCGGAACAAACGGUGGAGCGGUGAAAUGCGUAGAUAUCGUUUGGAACGCCAAUGGUGAAAAACAGGUUGCUGGGGGUGUGCUGACGCUGAGACACGAAAAGCCAGGGGGAGCAAAACGGGG